UACGUAGGGUGCAAGCGUUAUCCGGAAUUAUUGGGCGUAAAGAGCUCGUAGGCGGUUUGUCGCGUCUGCUGUGAAAGCUGGAGGCUCAACCUCCAGCCUGCAGUGGGUACGGGCAGACUAGAGUGCGGUAGGGGAGAUUGGAAUUCCUGGUGUAGCGGUGGAAUGCGCAGAUAUCAGGAGGAACACCGAUGGCGAAGGCAGAUCUCUGGGCCGUAACUGACGCUGAGGAGCGAAAGCAUGGGGAGCGAACAGG
rnacentral:rRNA from 1 species